UACGAAGGGGGCUAGCGUUGCUCGGAAUUACUGGGCGUAAAGGGCGCGUAGGCGGACAGUUUAGUCAGAGGUGAAAGCCCAGGGCUCAACCUUGGAAUUGCCUUUGAUACUGGCUGUCUUGAGUUCGGGAGAGGUGAGUGGAAUGCCGAGUGUAGAGGUGAAAUUCGUAGAUAUUCGGCGGAACACCAGUGGCGAAGGCGACUCGCUGGCCCGAUACUGACGCUGAGGCGCGAAAGCGUGGGGAGCAAACAGG
rnacentral:rRNA from 1 species